CGCAGUACUCCUAACACCCCCUACUACCAUGCAUGCACUGAAAUGCACCUCCUCUCAUCUCAUCCAGCCAAGACCACUUGGCCCUGCACCUAGCUACCGCUGCUACUCGAUCUCCACUACUGGCACCUACAGUACACGAAGCUACUAGCCCUAGCUAUCUAGAUGCUCUUCUUGUUGGGCCCCGUGCAGGCCACCCUCCGGCGCUUCUUCUUCUGGGCGGGCGGCGGCGGCGGAGGCGCGGGGCGCGGGCGCCAGAAGAGCUGCUCCAGCUCCUCCAGCCGCAGGCUGAGCACUUCGACCUCGAACAGGCGCUUCCGGCACGCCGCGGGCGCCCGCGGCUUCCGCGGCGCCGGCGGGCACGUCCCCGGCGGCUUCACCUGGCUCUCGCCGCCCGUCGGCGUCCGGCAGCGGUAGUCCUGAUCCUCCUGCCACAUGGUCGCGGCGGCGGCGCUGUCGUCCGCCCCUGCCCCGUGCAGGAGGAGCGUCGGCGGCGAGAACGCCGGCGGCGCUGGCUUGUAGAACUCCGGCGACGCGGACAUGGCGGGGAUAUGGAUUGCUCGCUAGCUGGUUCUUUUUUCGAGAGAAGAGAAGAGGAGAGUGGUGGGUGGGUGUGGAUUGGAGGAGAGAAACGAGGAAGCGGCGGCGGGGAGGACGGGAGGUUGCUUGAGACACUUGGUCACUUCUCCCUGGGUCUGCUUCUUGUUCUGGGAGAAAGGAAAGGGCCCUUCGUUUCGGCCCUUUUGUAUUGGGCGGGGUGCCCCCUUUUUUUUUGGUACUACCCAGCGCGUUCGAAUGAUGCGGUUAUUGCAUUUAGGUCCUUGAUGGUACCCGCGCACACAUGCAUGGCAUGGAUACUCUCCACUGGGCCACCACCACUCGCUUCAAUUAUUCGGUGGCUCGAUACAGUGG
rnacentral:misc_RNA from 1 species